GGAGUGGUGGCCGAGUUAGGUCGAAGGCGCUCGCCUGCUAAGCGAGUGUACGGUCUUUAUACCGUACCGAGGGUUCAAAUCCCUCCCCCUCCG
rnacentral:tRNA from 1 species